ACCACACACCGCUCUGUGCCUCAUGGCUGCAGCAGCUCAGCUUCCCCCCAUGGGGGAGAGGUGCUUCACAUGGGGGUUACCAACUCUCAGCAGCACAGUCACGCCGCUGCUCUCUGAUGUAAAUGACACCGUGGCCUCUCCUGCAACGUGCUCUGAUAGCAUGUAGGCUAGAGCACAGACGGACACGGAGCAGGAGCUGAAUCCUGCGCUGCUCCGAUAAAUCCCAGCCGGGCCCUGAAGUGCGCACAGCUGCCAAUUAAUGGUCUCAGAGUGCCACCUAGCGGUAGACGACUGCAGCAGCUGAUGGUGGAAUCCACCACCACACGGAGCUCAGCUGAGGGUGUGGACUCUGCUGUGUUUGGAGAGCAAACCACCAGCGAAGUGGGAUUACCUGAGUCACCGUGCGCCCCCGCUCCCCCGCGGCUCUCACCUCUCACCCCACACCCCCACAGGGUGACUACGCAGGCUCCGUCCUUAAGCGUUUUUCAGGUGGCCGGGAAAAUUGGUGUUUGCUCCAGGAGGCGGCCGUGAGUCACCGCGUUCUGUCGAGCAGAGAGGACAUGGCAGAUUUGUCAACACAAGCGCUCGCAGAACUGCAGAGAACAGACAGAGACGGAGAGAAGGCUAAACGAAUGGAAGUCUGAGUCACCGGCCGCCCCGAGAGCAGCUCCGUCUGGAGGUACAGUCCGCCAGGACAAACCUCUGGUGACAGAGGGUAUUUUCCCCACACUGACAGGCAACAACAGGGUGUCACAGUUACAAUAUGUUGUGUGACUGGCCUUAAAUGCACUUUAGAACUUUUCCAAUCAGGGCUUGUGUGUUAAUUGAUGCCUCACUUCCUGCUUUGGUUCCCAUCAGCUGAAAUGCACUGGCUUACAGACACAGCAGGGUGUGUGUGCGUGUGUGUGUGUGUGUGUGGGUGCUAAAACAACAAACAGCCUCCAUGGUCCCAAACAAUGCAAGGGGUUUAUACUAAUUAAAUUGCUUCUUGAACAAGA